rnacentral:rRNA from 1 species
GGAUGCCCUGGCAGUCAGAGGCGAUGAAGGACGUGCUAAUCUGCGAUAAGCGUCGGUAAGGUGAUAUGAACCGUUAUAACCGGCGAUUUCCGAAUGGGGAAACCCAGUGUGAUUCGUCACACUAUCAUUAACUGAAUCCAUAGGUUAAUGAGGCGAACCGGGGGAACUGAAACAUCUAAGUACCCCGAGGAAAAGAAAUCAACCGAGAUUCCCCCAGUAGCGGCGAGCGAACGGGGAGCAGCCCAGAGCCUGAAUCAGUGUGUGUGUUAGUGGAAGCGUCUGGAAAGGCGUGCGAUACAGGGUGACAGCCCCGUACACAAAAAUGCACAUACUGUGAGCUCGAUGAGUAGGGCGGGACACGUGGUAUCCUGUCUGAAUAUGGGGGGACCAUCCUCCAAGGCUAAAUACUCCUGACUGACCGAUAGUGAACCAGUACCGUGAGGGAAAGGCGAAAAGAACCCCGGCGAGGGGAGUGAAAAAGAACCUGAAACCGUGUACGUACAAGCAGUGGGAGCACGCUUAGGCGUGUGACUGCGUACCUUUUGUAUAAUGGGUCAGCGACUUAUAUUCUGUAGCAAGGUUAACCGAAUAGGGGAGCCGAAGGGAAACCGAGUCUUAACUGGGCGUUAAGUUGCAGGGUAUAGACCCGAAACCCGGUGAUCUAGCCAUGGGCAGGUUGAAGGUUGGGUAACACUAACUGGAGGACCGAACCGACUAAUGUUGAAAAAUUAGCGGAUGACUUGUGGCUGGGGGUGAAAGGCCAAUCAAACCGGGAGAUAGCUGGUUCUCCCCGAAAGCUAUUUAGGUAGCGCCUCGUGAAUUCAUCUCCGGGGGUAGAGCACUGUUUCGGCAAGGGGGUCAUCCCGACUUACCAACCCGAUGCAAACUGCGAAUACCGGAGAAUGUUAUCACGGGAGACACACGGCGGGUGCUAACGUCCGUCGUGAAGAGGGAAACAACCCAGACCGCCAGCUAAGGUCCCAAAGUCAUGGUUAAGUGGGAAACGAUGUGGGAAGGCCCAGACAGCCAGGAUGUUGGCUUAGAAGCAGCCAUCAUUUAAAGAAAGCGUAAUAGCUCACUGGUCGAGUCGGCCUGCGCGGAAGAUGUAACGGGGCUAAACCAUGCACCGAAGCUGCGGCAGCGACGCUUAUGCGUUGUUGGGUAGGGGAGCGUUCUGUAAGCCUGUGAAGGUGUGCUGUGAGGUAUGCUGGAGGUAUCAGAAGUGCGAAUGCUGACAUAAGUAACGAUAAAGCGGGUGAAAAGCCCGCUCGCCGGAAGACCAAGGGUUCCUGUCCAACGUUAAUCGGGGCAGGGUGAGUCGACCCCUAAGUCGAGGCCGAAAGGCGUAGUCGAUGGGAAACAGGUUAAUAUUCCUGUACUUGGUGUUACUGCGAAGGGGGGACGGAGAAGGCUAUGUUGGCCGGGCGACGGUUGUCCCGGUUUAAGCGUGUAGGCUGGUUUUCCAGGCAAAUCCGGAAAAUCAAGGCCGAGGCGUGAUGACGAGGCACUACGGUGCUGAAGCAACAAAUGCCCUGCUUCCAGGAAAAGCCUCUAAGCAUCAGGUAACAUCAAAUCGUACCCCAAACCGACACAGGUGGUCAGGUAGAGAAUACCAAGGCGCUUGAGAGAACUCGGGUGAAGGAACUAGGCAAAAUGGUGCCGUAACUUCGGGAGAAGGCACGCUGAUACGUAGGUGAAGCGACUUGCUCGUGGAGCUGAAAUCAGUCGAAGAUACCAGCUGGCUGCAACUGUUUAUUAAAAACACAGCACUGUGCAAACACGAAAGUGGACGUAUACGGUGUGACGCCUGCCCGGUGCCGGAAGGUUAAUUGAUGGGGUUAGCGCAAGCGAAGCUCUUGAUCGAAGCCCCGGUAAACGGCGGCCGUAACUAUAACGGUCCUAAGGUAGCGAAAUUCCUUGUCGGGUAAGUUCCGACCUGCACGAAUGGCGUAAUGAUGGCCAGGCUGUCUCCACCCGAGACUCAGUGAAAUUGAACUCGCUGUGAAGAUGCAGUGUACCCGCGGCAAGACGGAAAGACCCCGUGAACCUUUACUAUAGCUUGACACUGAACAUUGAGCCUUGAUGUGUAGGAUAGGUGGGAGGCUUUGAAGUGUGGACGCCAGUCUGCAUGGAGCCGACCUUGAAAUACCACCCUUUAAUGUUUGAUGUUCUAACGUGGACCCGUGAUCCGGGUUGCGGACAGUGUCUGGUGGGUAGUUUGACUGGGGCGGUCUCCUCCUAAAGAGUAACGGAGGAGCACGAAGGUUGGCUAAUCCUGGUCGGACAUCAGGAGGUUAGUGCAAUGGCAUAAGCCAGCUUGACUGCGAGCGUGACGGCGCGAGCAGGUGCGAAAGCAGGUCAUAGUGAUCCGGUGGUUCUGAAUGGAAGGGCCAUCGCUCAACGGAUAAAAGGUACUCCGGGGAUAACAGGCUGAUACCGCCCAAGAGUUCAUAUCGACGGCGGUGUUUGGCACCUCGAUGUCGGCUCAUCACAUCCUGGGGCUGAAGUAGGUCCCAAGGGUAUGGCUGUUCGCCAUUUAAAGUGGUACGCGAGCUGGGUUUAGAACGUCGUGAGACAGUUCGGUCCCUAUCUGCCGUGGGCGCUGGAGAACUGAGGGGGGCUGCUCCUAGUACGAGAGGACCGGAGUGGACGCAUCACUGGUGUUCGGGUUGUCAUGCCAAUGGCACUGCCCGGUAGCUAAAUGCGGAAGAGAUAAGUGCUGAAAGCAUCUAAGCACGAAACUUGCCCCGAGAUGAGUUCUCCCUGACCCUUUAAGGGUCCUGAAGGAACGUUGAAGACGACGACGUUGAUAGGCCGGGUGUGUAAGCGCAGCGAUGCGUUGAGCUAACCGGUACUAAUGAACCGUGAGGCUUAACCUUACAACGCCGAAG